GGGACAAACAUGCCUUUUCCUGUCUCUUCCCUUCUAUGCUGACUGGAACAUGGACAUGAUUGCUGGAUGUGAGCAACCAUUUUAGACCAAGAGGUUGACAUUGUUGACAAUGAUAAAGUACCAUGAAGAAGCUGUAGUCCCUGAAAAUUGUGAGAGAGAAUUUUUUGUUUUUUGGUUAUCUGCUGCUGAAACUAUCCUACCAGAAACACACUACAAAAAGUUGCCAGCCUUAUGACCUUAUGCAAGUUACUUCACUGCUCUGUGUCUGAAUUUUCAUUUGUAAAAUCAGUAUGUGAACAUUAACUACAAGAUGAGAUGGUUGGAUGGCAUCACCGACUCAAUGGAUAUGAGCUUGAGCAAACGCUGGGAGUUGGUGAUGGACAGGGAAGUUUGGGAAUUUUCUGCCAUGGACUGUUUUUUGAAGUGUGUGAUGGUGGAGGAUUGUUGGCUGCUUGGAAACUGAGAGGGCCAGAUUCUUUGGGAACUUUGAAUUUGAACAACGGCUGCGAGGUUGGGGGAGCCAUUCAUCACAGGGCCUGGGUGGUAUGGGGCUACACAGCCCUGCUCUGGGUUUUGCGGGGUUUCUUCUAUUUUUCCACCCUGGACUUCUGACCCCCAUGGAUUCCAAUG